ACCGUUCAUGGCUGUUACGGAGGAAGGUGGGCUGAUGUCGGCUGGGUAUGAUAUUUGCUGCUGAACAGUUUUCAUAUCACUCUGUACAGAAUAAAUACGCCAUCAGUAGGCUGACCUGGAA